GACGAACGCUGGCGGCGUGCUUAACACAUGCAAGUCGAACGGAAAGGCCCUGCUUUUGUGGGGUGCUCGAGUGGCGAACGGGUGAGUAACACGUGAGUAACCUGCCCUUGACUUUGGGAUAACUUCAGGAAACUGGGGCUAAUACCGGAUAGGAGCUCCUGCUGCAUGGUGGGGGUUGGAAAGUUUCGGCGGUUGGGGAUGGACUCGCGGCUUAUCAGCUUGUUGGUGGGGUAGUGGCUUACCAAGGCUUUGACGGGUAGCCGGCCUGAGAGGGUGACCGGCCACUGGGACUGAGAUACGGCCCAGACUCCUACGGGAGGCAGCAGUGGGGAAUAUUGCACAAUGGGCGGAAGCCUGAUGCAGCAACGCCGCGUGCGGGAUGACGGCCUUCGGGUUGUAAACCGCUUUCGCCUGUGACGAAGCGUGAGUGACGGUAAUGGGUAAAGAAGCACCGGCUAACUACGUG
rnacentral:rRNA from 1 species